rnacentral:rRNA from 1 species
CACCAAGCCUUCGAUGGAUAGGGGUUCUGAGAGGAAGGUCCCCCACAUUGGAACUGAGACACGGUCCAAACUCCUACGGGAGGCAGCAGUGAGGAAUAUUGGUCAAUGGGCGCUAGCCUGAACCAGCCAAGUAGCGUGAAGGAUGAAGGCUCUAUGGGUCGUAAACUUCUUUUAUAUAAGAAUAAAGUGCAGUAUGUAUACUGUUUUGUAUGUAUUAUAUGAAUAAGGAUCGGCUAACUCCGUGCCAGCAGCCGCGGUAAUACGGAGGAUCCGAGCGUUAUCCGGAUUUAUUGGGUUUAAAGGGAGCGUAGGUGGACUGGUAAGUCAGUUGUGAAAGUUUGCGGCUCAACCGUAAAAUUGCAGUUGAUACUGUCAGUCUUGAGUACAGUAGAGGUGGGCGGAAUUCGUGGUGUAGCGGUGAAAUGCUUAGAUAUCACGAAGAACUCCGAUUGCGAAGGCAGCUCACUGGACUGCAACUGACACUGAUGCUCGAAAGUGUGGGUAUCAAACAGGAUUAGAUACCCUGGUAGUCCACACAGUAAACGAUGAAUACUCGCUGUUUGCGAUAUACAGUAAGCGGCCAAGCGAAAGCAUUAAGUAUUCCACCUGGGGAGUACGCCGGCAACGGUGAAACUCAAAGGAAUUGACGGGGGCCCGCACAAGCGGAGGAACAUGUGGUUUAAUUCGAUGAUACGCGAGGAACCUUACCCGGGCUUAAAUUGCAGUGGAAUGAUGUGGAAACAUGUCAGUGAGCAAUCACCGCUGUGAAGGUGCUGCAUGGUUGUCGUCAGCUCGUGCCGUGAGGUGUCGGCUUAAGUGCCAUAACGAGCGCAACCCUUAUCUUCAGUUACUAACAGGU